GGCGACUAGGUCUUCUGGGAAGAAGAUACAAGGGAGGGAGACGAGGUGAGAUGGAGAGAAUAGAAGGGAGAAUAGGGACUGCGUGGGUACCUGCUGCUGGUCCGACGGCGGCUCCGGUCAUCAGAUCAGGCCAACUCUUGAUGGAUUUCCAAUGUGUUGCUGGGCUCCCAAUUUUUUCCGUCGUGCAGUUGCUCCCCGUCUCCCUCUGUCGUCCCAAGAUGGUCCGGCUGGGUGCUGUCCUGACGGCUGAGCGUGUGCUAUCCACGGAACACAGCUCCUCCACCUAGUCCCUCCUCCGUAACGCCGGUGAGGACACUACUUCGUCUGAACCGAUUAUCACAACCACGCACAGGAGCUCUAUGGCACAUGUAGCAGGUCUUGGGCAUGAUGGCCGGACGCGAUGAGGAGGACAUACUGGAUCCCCAUGGACGCCAAGGAUUCGAGGACAUUGGCAGAUGUAGAGGAGGCAAUGAGGACGGAGAUGAUUGCGGCACACAAUUUAAAUAAACUAGAAUAUCCUGAAAAUUAUAUUUGGUGUAUAGAAUUCAGUUUUAGUCUUUGAGUACAUUUUCAUGAUUCGCUUAUUCCAGUAGUGAGUAAAAAUAUGUAAAACUACGUGACUUGUAAAUUUUUGAGUCUGUUGUGCGUCCCAACGAUUCCACCGGCAUCGGCCCUCCCCUACCGUGGUGCAGACUGCAGUAUUAGCGGUCUCCUUGGAGUCCUGAAGCAGCUCAAGGGCAUCGUCCUUGGUGCGCCUCCUCAAGGCUUGAUGCUUUCUACAGGAAAAAAUGAUUCUUUUCUUUGAGAUGAGGAAAAUUACUUCCCUUUCUACAGGAAAAGAUGGUUCUGUUAGAUAAAUGUCUUCCCAAGUUAAAGGCACAUGGCUCCGAAGUACUAAUAUUCUCUGAGGGGCACCAUAACAUAUGAAAAUUUUGAAGAGCUUUGUGAAGAUUUGUGGGAGCAGCUCCGACUCCAAUUAAAGAAGUUCCACGCAGCGGGCAUGAAGAUUGGUCACAUCUAUAUGUUUAGUUGUGCUGCAGUGAUUUACAGCCAGGGUUUACAGAUUGAUUUGAGAAAGUAUUUAACGCAAUUGGUCUCUUGGCAUAGGCUCAAGUAUAAAACCGAUAUGUAAUAUCUCCAUAUGUUUGUGCAAAUUGAUUUUGUAAGCUACUCUGAAAACUUUAUUAUUUUUUCACUAUUGAUGUACUUGGUGCUAACUUCCAUUUUCUCUCAACAGGACAUGUGCUAUUCUGAAAAUGGAGCUUCUCUAUUGGAUGGCAGCUCAUGAUGGUAGUUUCAGAUAUGAAGCUAAGGAAAGCGUGCCUCAUAAUUCAUUAGAUGUAUCCCAGUAGGGCCAAUUAGAUAUUGUUGGUUGUAAAUGACAUGAGUUUUUAGCUUUCAUAAAAUCUAGAUUUGUACUCUUUAACAAUAAGCUGUGGAGGAGAGUGGUCUUAAAUGUGCUGGUUGAAUUUACCAAUGUUGGUUAUUUUGGUUUUAC